UACGGAGGGUGCAAGCGUUAUCCGGAUUCACUGGGUUUAAAGGGUGCGUAGGUGGGUUGGGAAGUCAGUGGUGAAAUACUUUCGCUUAACGAAGGAACUGCCAUUGAUACUAUCAAUCUUGAAUGUAGUGGAGGUAAGCGGAAUAUGUCAUGUAGCGGUGAAAUGCUUAGAUAUGACAUAGAACACCGAUUGCGAAGGCAGCUUGCUACACGAUCAUUGACACUGAGGCACGAAAGCGUGGGGAUCAAACAGG
rnacentral:rRNA from 1 species